CCAGGUUCGAUUCUUGGGUUGGGAAGAUCGUCUGGAGAAGGAAAUGGCAACCCACUCCAGUAUUCCUUCCUGGAGAAACCCAUGGACAGAGGAGCCUGGCAGUCUGCAGCCCAUGGGAUUGCAAGAGUCGGACACGAUUUAGGGACUAAACCACCCCGCAGUCCUUAGGGGAAUGGAUCGGAUAGAAGAAAGACUGGUUCUGAGUGGGUUAUGAUAGACAGCAGGAGAGAUGGAUGUGGUCAACAGCCCGGUCCGGGGUCACUGAACAGCUUGUCCUGAGAGGACAGGUCUUGUAGGUACAGGACGGGCGUGGAGUUGAGAGAAAUAGCGGGGGAGGGGAAACACCGUGUCUCUGGAGGCUUCUCUCAGGAAGCAGAGUAAACAUCUGGCGGUCAUCAGGGAGAGCCUUUGGGUAAGGAGGAUGGACUGAGGCAAGUUCUGGAGGAGAUGAAAGCCUUAAACGAACAAAACCUACCUGAUGUGUAAGUUGGAAUAAUGCAAAGUCAAGAGGACGAGGUGAUUUGGUCCCAGCCAUCAAGUUUCGACACUGUUCUUUGCUAAGAAGUCAGCGCUGCGCCGAAGCCGGCCUGUGGACUGGUUCAAUGGUUACAAAAUGUCCCUUGCUACCAUGAGGUCAUUGGCAGGAGACCAAGGUUUGGACAUCACACAGGAUGUGAAACCUCCAAAAAGCCUAUAUAUAGAAAACUGGACAGUUUGAACUGCUAGAAUGCCUCAGGAAAGAAUGCUAAGCCUAACUACACAGAGAAGACGCAAACAGAGCCUAACACUUACCUGGAGGUGCAUGUGCAGUGCCCAGCUACUGGAUGAUGACUCCAUAAUAAAAAAUAAUGUAGAUAUUGUAAAACAUCAGUUUUUCUUUUCUGGUGCGGUGUCUAAAAGACUAUGGAGAAUUUGAAGUUGAAGAUGGUACUUCAGUGCUAUUAAAAAAAAAACAUAGCCAGGGAUUUACUGUCUUAGGAUACUUUAACUUUUUAAGGGUGUCAAAUGAUGGAAAUGUUGGAAUCAGUAGUAAACUAAAUACCACCUUGCGAUGAUCAUUUGUGUCAUAGACAUUAAGUUUACCAUAAAUAUCCUUUUAUCCUUUUUCUAAAACCUUGAAGCAGAAAGGGACGGUACAGUUGACCCUUGAACAUCAUGUAGGGAUAAUGGGUGUAGUCAAACUGCCCGCUCCCCACAGGUUCUAGCACACGGGCUUCCAUUGUGGCAGCAUGCAGACUUGGUAGUUGUGGUGUGUGGGCUCUGUGGCAUGUGGAUUCUAGAGUUUGUGUGCAGAAGCCUUCCUCUUGAUGAGAUUUUGUCUCUCAGGAUCAACCUGUAAAACUGGGGUAACUUAAAAGCAUCGUCUACUCUAGUGGACAUUAAGGGGCUUCUAACAUGUCUUAGCACAUCUGAAAUAAGUUUUCUAUAAAAUCUGUGUUAUAGAUCACCCACACAAUGUGAAAUAUUAAUAGGGAAACAUUUUCCUACCAUACAGUCCUUUAUUCUUGACUCUAUGGGGCAUGUUUCUCA